UUCCUGAGGCCUCCCUAGAAGCCAAGCAGAUGCCCGCACCAUGCUUCCUGUAUAGCCCAUAGAACUGUCUCAAUCUUAACUUCCAGUUUAAUGGAAUCUUUGUUGUGUCUGCUGGUGGCAGCAUUCCUUCCUCUGGAACUAAGACCUCUAGGCCAGCAGAACCUAAUGUGGGAGCAAGAUGCAAAAAUUUUGCUAGUGGAUCACCAGGGGUGAUGACAGCAAGACCCCCCGCAAGACAGCAAGACCCAACUCUCUUCUUUCUCUUCCUCCUCAUCCUACUCAACAUGAAGAUGACAAGGAUGAAGACCUUCAUGAUGGUCCACUUCACUUAAUGAAUAGUAAAUAGUAAAUUUUCUCUUCCUCAUGAUGUUUGAAAUAAUAUUUUCUUUUCUCUAGCUUAUUUUAUUGUAACAAUACAGUAUACUAUACACACACAAAAUAUGUGUUAAUCAACUGUUUAUGUUAUUGGUAAGGCUUAUGGUUAACAGUGGGCUCUUAAUAGCUACACUGUGGUGGAGUCAAAAGUUAUAUACAGGGUCUCGACUGUCUGGGGGUUCGGUGCCCCUAAUCUCUGCAUUGUUCAAGGGACAACCACAGUGUUAUUUCUGUUAGACAUGUGUCAGCACCCUAUGCUGUUACUGUGACUUGCUAUUUUUUUAAAUCUCCCUUGUAACUGUAGGAUAACUCUCUGUAUAACUCUAGUGAAUCCCCAGUAAGUGCAA
ensembl:lncRNA novel transcript